GUUCUGUAAGCCUGUGAAGGUGGCAUGUAAAGGCUGCUGGAGGUAUCAGAAGUGCGAAUGCUGACAUGAGUAGCGUUAAAGCGGGUGAAAAGCCCGCUCGCCGUAAGCGCAAGGUUUUCUACGCAACGUUCAUCGGCGUAGAGUGAGUCGGCCCCUAAGGUGAGGCAGAGAUGCGUAACUGAUGGGAAACAGGUCAAUAUUCCUGUACCGAUGUGUAGUGCGAUGUGGGGACGGAUCUUAAUAGGUCAUCCGGGUGUUGGAUAUCCCGGUUUAGGCAGAUGUAGGCGACAGGUAGGCAAAUCCGCCUGUCAUAUACCGAGGCUGCCGAUCGAGCGAGCUUGCUCGCGAAGUGAUUGAACGAGGUUCCAGGAAAAGCCACUAAGCUUCAGCUACACACGACCGUACCGCAAACCGACACUGGUGCGCGAGAUGAGUAUUCUAAGGCGCUUGAGAGAACUCGGGAGAAGGAACUCGGCAAAUUGACACCGUAACUUCGGAAGAAGGUGUGCCCUAUUAGUGUGAAGUGAACAACGGAGCAUGAAUGGGUUGCAAAAAAUCGGUGGCUGCGACUGUUUAUUAAAAACACAGCACUCUGCAAACACGAAAGUGGACGUAUAGGGUGUGACGCCUGCCCGGUGCUGGAAGAUUAAAUGAUGGGGUGCAAGCUCUUGAUUGAAGUCCCAGUAAACGGCGGCCGUAACAAUAACGGUCCUAAGGUAGCGAAAUUCCUUGUCGGGUAAGUUCCGACCUGCACGAAUGGCGUAACGAUGGCCACACUGUCUCCUCCCGAGACUCAGCGAAGUUGAAAUGUUUGUGAUGAUGCAAUCUCCCCGCGGAAAGACGGAAAGACCCCAUGAACCUUUACUGUAGCUUUGUAUUGGACUUUGAACAGAUCUGUGUAGGAUAGGUGGGAGGCUUUGAAGCAGGGUCGCUAGAUCUUGUGGAGCCAACGUUGAAAUACCACCCUGGUGUGUUUGAGGUUCUAACCUAGGUCCAUUAUCUGGAUCGGGGACAGUGCAUGGUAGGCAGUUUGACUGGGGCGGUCUCCUCCCAAAGCGUAACGGAGGAGUUCGAAGGUACGCUAGUUACGGUCGGACAUCGUGACGAUAGUGCAAUGGCAUAAGCGUGCUUAACUGCGAGACUGACAAGUCGAGCAGAUGCGAAAGCAGGACAUAGUGAUCCGGUGGUUCUGUAUGGAAGGGCCAUCGCUCAACGGAUAAAAGGUACUCUGGGGAUAACAGGCUGAUACCGCCCAAGAGUUCAUAUCGACGGCGGUGUUUGGCACCUCGAUGUCGGCUCAUCUCAUCCUGGGGCUGUAGCCGGUCCCAAGGCUAUGGCUGUUCGCCAUUUAAAGAGGUACGUGAGCUGGGUUUAAAACGUCGUGAGACAGUUUGGUCCCUAUCUUCCGUGGGCGCUGCAGAUUUGAGGAAGCCUGCUCCUAGUACGAGAGGACCGGAGUGGACGCACCUCUGGUGUAUCGGUUGUCACGCCAGUGGCAUUGCCGAGUAGCUAUGUGCGGAAGAGAUAACCGCUGAAAGCAUCUAAGCGGGAAACUCGUUCCAAGAUGAGAUCUGCCGGGGCCUUGAGCCCCCUAAAGAGUCGUUCAAGACCAGGACGUUGAUAGGUCGGGUGUGGAAGCGCAGUAAUGCGUUAAGCUAACCGGUACUAAUUGCUCGUGCGGCUUGACC
rnacentral:rRNA from 1 species